rnacentral:snRNA from 1 species
UUGUCCACUUCAGCAGCACACAUCAUAAAAUAGGAAUAAUAUAGGGGAGAUUAGCAUGGCCCCUGCAAAAGAAUGACAGAUAAAAUCACAAAUGUACCAUAUUAAG